rnacentral:rRNA from 1 species
GCCUAACACAUGCAAGUCGAACGGCAGCAGCACCUAGCUUGCUAGGUGGCUGGCGAGUGGCGGACGGGUGAGGAAUGCAUCGGAAUCUGCCUUCUUGUGGGGGAUAACGUAGGGAAACCUGCGCUAAUACCGCAUACGCCCUUCGGGGGAAAGCCGGGGACCUUCGGGCCUGGCGCGGGAAGAUGAGCCGAUGCCGGAUUAGCUAGUUGGCGGGGUAACGGCCCACCAAGGCGACGAUCCGUAGCUGGUCUGAGAGGAUGAUCAGCCACACUGGGACUGAGACACGGCCCAGACUCCUACGGGAGGCAGCAGUGGGGAAUAUUGGACAAUGGGCGCAAGCCUGAUCCAGCCAUGCCGCGUGAGUGAAGAAGGCCUUCGGGUUGUAAAGCUCUUUUGUACGGGAAGAAACACGGCCGGCGAAUACCCGGCUGGACUGACGGUACCGUAAGAAUAAGCACCGGCUAACUUCGUGCCAGCAGCCGCGGUAAUACGAAGGGUGCAAGCGUUACUCGGAAUUACUGGGCGUAAAGCGUGCGUAGGUGGUGCGUUAAGUCCGAUGUGAAAGCCCUGGGCUCAACCUGGGAAUGGCAUUGGAUACUGGCGUGCUCGAGUACGGUAGAGGGUGGCGGAAUUCCCGGUGUAGCAGUGAAAUGCGUAGAGAUCGGGAGGAACAUCCGUGGCGAAGGNGGCCACCUGGACCAGUACUGACACUGAGGCACGAAAGCGUGGGGAGCAAACCAGGAUUAGAUACCCUGGUAGUCCACGCCCUAAACGAUGCGAACUGGAGGUUGGGUGCACUUAGGCAUUCAGUCUCGAAGCUAACGCGUUAAGUUCGCCGCCUGGGGAGUACGGUCGCAAGACUGAAACUCAAAGGAAUUGACGGGGGCCCGCACAAGCGGUGGAGUAUGUGGUUUAAUUCGAUGCAACACGCAGAACCUUACCUGNCCUUGACAUCCACGGANCCUUGCAGAGAUGCGGGGGUGCNUUCGGGAACCGUGAGACAGGUGCUGCAUGGCUGUCGUCAGCUCGUGUCGUGAGAUGUUGGGUUAAGUCCCGCAACGAGCGCAACCCUUGUCCCUAGUUGCCAGCACGUAAUGGUGGGAACUCUAGGGAGACCGCCGGUGACAAACCGGAGNNNNNNNGNGAUGACGUCAAGUCAUCAUGGCCCUUACGGCCAGGGCUACACACGUACUACAAUGGGAAGGACAGAGGGCUGCGAACCCGCGAGGGCGAGCCAAUCCCAGAAACCUUCUCUCAGUCCGGAUCGCAGUCUGCAACUCGACUGCGUGAAGUCGGAAUCGCUAGUAAUCGCAGAUCAGCAUUGCUGCGGUGAAUACGUUCCCGGGCCUUGUACACACCGCCCGUCACACCAUGGGAGUGGGUUGCUCCAGAAGCCGCUAGUCUAACCACACGAAAGUGAGGAGGACGGCGACCACGGAGUGAUUCAUGACUGGGGUGAAGUCGUAACAAGGUAGCCGUAUCGGAAGGUGCGGCUGGAUCACCUCCUU